rnacentral:rRNA from 1 species
UAUUAUAUAUUGUUUAAUUUAUCUGUUUAUAUAAUUAAUAUUUGUUGCUUAAUAGAAAUAACUUAUUUAUAGGUAUUUAGUAGUUUUUAUCGAAAAUUUAUGUUAAUUGUUUUAAUAGUUUAUUUUAUCCGUAAGGUGUAAUUAUUAUGUUUAAUAUGUUAUAAGUAGAAUUUGUUUUUUGUACCUUUUGUAUCAGGGUUUGUCAAUAUCUGUUAUAUAAUUUAUAAUUAUCCCGAAAUUGUAGGAGAUAUAAUUUAUCUGUUAUUUGUUGUUUUAUAAACAUUAAUAAGUUUAUUAUAGGGGAUAUAUUCUAUUCAACUACAAAUAUCUGGUUUUUUAAUACAUGAAUUUAAUUCAGGUGCCUAAAUAUUGGGAAUUAAUUAUAUAAUUGAAUUUAUAUUAAUUUUAGGUUCUAAGAUUAUAGGGGAUAAGCUCUGUGAUUGUUUUAUAGCUUUAUAUCAUAUCUUGUAUUUUGACAUGAUUUGUAGGAUUAAUAAUGUCUUUCUAUUAAAUAUUUUAUUAUUAUUAAUCAUGUUUAGUAUGUUUAAAUUUAAUUUAAUGGUUGCUUAAUUUUUUAUUAAAAUUCUUGAUUUAAUAUUUAUAUUUUGGUAAUAAUGAUGGAAUUAGUAAAUAUUUAUUUUAUAUAUAGUAAUUCGGCAAAUUUGAUUCUCACCUGUUUAUCAAAAACAUGUCCUGUUGUUUAUAAUUUUAUAUCAGGUCAAUCCUGCUCAAUGAUUGGUAAUUACUAAUUUAAUAGCCGCAGUACUCUGACUGUGCAAAGGUAGCAUAAUCAUUUGUCUUUUAAUUGAGGGCUUGUAUGAAUGGUUUGAUGAAGUUUCAGCUUUCUUUAUAUAAUUAUUUUGAAUUUAACUUUUUAGUCAAAAGGCUAAAAUGAUUUUAUGGGACGAGAAGACCCUAUAGAAAUUUACUCUUAUUAGGAUUAAUAAUUUAUAAUUUUAUGUUAUUAGUAGUUUUUUAUUUUUAAGGGGGUUUUGUUGGGGCGACAUGGAGAUUUAAUUAACUCUUUAUUUUUAUUUAUUUAUUGAUUUAUAUUUACUUUUGAUCCUCUAUAUAUUAGGGAUAAUAAGAUUAAUUUACCUUAGGGAUAACAGCGUAAUUCUUCUGGAGAGUUCAUAUCGAUGGAAGAGUUUGCGACCUCGAUGUUGGAUUAAAAUUAGCUUUAAGUGCAGCAGCUUAUUUAUGCUAGGUCUGUUCGACCUUUAAUUUUUUACAUGAUCUGAGUUCAGACCGGCGUGAGCCAGGUUGGUUUCUAUCUAUAAUAUUAUUAUACAUCUUAGUACGAAAGGAUCAGGUGUUUCAAUUAUUUUGUAAUAUAUGUGUUUAUUAUUAAAUUU